UACGUAGGGUGCAAGCGUUGUCCGGAAUUAUUGGGCGUAAAGGGUGCGUAGGCGGUUUGGUAAGUCUGAUGUGAAAUCUAUGGGCUCAACUCAUAGUCUGCAUCGGAAACUGCCGGGCUUGAGUGUGGGAGAGGUGAGUGGAAUUCCUGGUGUAGCGGUGAAAUGCGUAGAUAUCGGGAGGAACACCUGUGGCGAAAGCGGCUCACUGGACCAUAACUGACGCUGAUGCACGAAAGCUGGGGGGAGCAAACAGG
rnacentral:rRNA from 1 species